UGUCUCUUUCUAUAAAUUGCCCUAUGAUGUGCUGAGUGUAAAUAUCUGUAUCCAGUGUUAAAAAAAUGUAAACAAUUGAGACUCUUUAUCUUGUGACUGGGACCAUUGGGUAUUAUCAGAGUUCCUGGAAAAGUCUUGUUUCAAAUUUAUUUUACUGAUUUUUUUCCCUCCAUGUAGAAACUUAAGCUAUAAAUCAUGUGUGUAACUUAUAUAAUUUUAUUUUCCUAUUCAUUUCUCGUGAAUUUUUUUUGUUCUAAACAUAACCUUUAAUGUUAAAUGAUAGAACUCGAGCAAGAAAAUCGUGUGUUUUUGAUGAAAUAUGUGGAUCCGUGUAGCCAAAGUUUCCUAUUUUGGCUACACGGUUUGAUGUGGAUGUGAUUGGUGACAACUCUUUUGAUUGGAAGUUUCAAAAAAUGGUUUUAGGAAGUUUCCUAAUGUAUAUGGUCAAUUAUUUCCUAUUCUAGUUUCGGAGAUUUCCCGUUUGUGUAUAAUUGAUUCUUUCCUUUAUUUUGUUGUAUCCUUUCCUAUGUUGUAAAGUCCUCAUAUCUAUUAGAGGAUAUGUAAAGCUUCUUCUCGUAUUAAAGGAAUUAACAACAGGAGGUUCCAUCUUUUUAACAUGGUAUCAAAGCCAUCCUCUUACUCAUCCUAAAAACCCUAAAAGUGCCUUUAUUGCACUCUUCCUAUUUGAAGCCUCUAGUGCGCCGUUUUUCCUACCAUCAGUGCCUUGUCUUUUACUUCUAUUUGUUCUCUCAUUGUUGUGUGCCUUAAUUUCCAUAGCAAUAUUCGAAGUUGAUCCUGGGUUGCUAGAUCGAUUGUUCCUUCCCAUUCUCUACCAUGUCAGAAAUUUCAGAAACCACUACUCCAAUGACAAGAAGAGAGACUGUUUUGUGUGAUCUGCCGAUGGGGAGUACUCCUACUAGUGACCUACUCCUAUACAUCAUUCUUAUAGGCUUGAUGGGAGGAAUUAUCUACAGUGGGCACAACUCGUGCGGACUUUUUUAAAGGGAAGAUGACUCACCUAACUGAACCAAGUCUAGAUACUAAACUCUAGUUUCGCUGCAUGGGAAGUUGAGGAUUCUUUGAUUAUGUCUUGGUUGUGGAGCUCGAUGUAGCUUGAGGUAAGUAGAAAUUGCAUGUUCCUAUCUACUGCUAAGGAGAUAUGGGACAUUGCAAAGCAUACUUACCCUAAAGUGUAAGAUACAUAUGUGGUGUUUGACAUUAAGAUGAAAAUAAGUAGUACAAGACAAGGAUUUUUAACUGUCACCGUGUACUACAAUAAAAUGAAUGGAUAUUAGUUUGAGUUGGAUCAUUAUCAAGAUAUUAAAAUGAAAUGUAGUGAAGAUGCAACCACCAUAACUACAAUAUUUGAAAGGGACAGGGUAGUAGAAUUCCUAGCAGAACUUAAUGCUGAUUUUGAUCAAGUAUGGGUGCAGAUUCUAGGUAAAGAAAAACUUCCCUCUGUCAAUGAAGUGUUUGCUAUUGUUCAUAGUGAGGAAUAUUGAAGGAUAGCUAUGCUAAAUGAAAUACCUUUUGAGGGAUCUGCAAUGGUGAUUAAUAAAAAUGAUGCUACUCGGUUUAAGCCACAACAGGGUGGGACUAAAUUUAACUCUUAAGUCACAAAAUCGAGAUGGUUUGUGGUGUUCCUUUUGCAAGAAAUCCAGGCAUACCAAGGAGACUUGCUUUAAGCUUCAUGGAAAAGAAGCAGUGUUGAACAAGGUGCGAGGCAUGAAACACCUUCAGUCUCGGAACCAAGCUCAAGCCUUUCAAGCAACUAAGGAGGAAGUAUCUAACUUGGAGAAGGCAGAUUCAAUCAUCAUGGCUUAACAACGAAAUGCUGAGGAGAUCAACAAGCUUAAGAGUUUUCUGAAAACCAUUCAAGAUGGUUCUUGUUCCAUGGCUCAAACAGGUCUUUGUUUGAAUUCUGAAUCUAGUAUUGCCUCACAUACUAUUAGGAAUAAUUUAUGGAUCCUAGAUUCAGGGGCUACCGAUCACAUGACCUUUGAUAUAAAUGUCUUUGACUCUUGUACCCCAAUAAGUAGCCCCAAAAGGAUAACAGUGGCUAAUGGUGAUGAAAUUCCUAUAGUUGGUCAUGGUAAUGUGAACCUCAAUUCCUCAUUACCUAUCCAACAUGUCCUUCAUGUGCCUAAUCUUUUUCAUGACUUGAUUUCUGUCUAUCAGUUGACCAAGGAUCUAAAUUGCUGCGUUGUUUUCUUCCCUAACAAAUGUGAGUUUUAGGUACUGGACACGGGGAAGAAAAUUGGUGUUGCUGUGGAAUGGAAUGGACUGUACUACUUGAAGACAAGUAAUGCUGCUCUUAAGGGGGAGCAACCUAUCAGUGCCUAUUCUUUUCAGUCUACUUCCAUCACUAAUUUUUGGCUUCAACAUUGCCGUUUGGGGCAUCCUUCUGUUAGUUUAAUGCAGUCUAUGUUUCCUGCUUUGCUAAGAAAUUUAGAUGUGUCUAAUCUUCAUUGUGAUGUGUGAGUUUUCUAAACAUCAUAGAGUCUCUUAUCCCGUGAGUAAUAAAUUAUCCUCCAUUCCAUUCACUUUGAUUCACUCGGAUAUGUGGGGGUCCAUUUAGAAUUCCUAAUUGUUUUGGGGCUAGAUGAUUUAUUACUUUUAUUGAUGAUUGUACUAGAAUGACUUGGGUGUAUCUCUUAAAGAAUAAGGUGACACGAUCCUAGGGUUUAGGAAGUAAAUUGGUAAGAGUGCGAGAAAGAAAGAGCAGAAAGGUAGGGAUAAAGAGAGAGAGAGAGAGAGAAUGAAUAGAACAAAAAGAAUUGAGGGAGAAGAGAAAGCCGAGGGAGAGCUAGGAGAAUUGGGAGAGGGAAAUGGAAUUCAAUUGUCAUUCAAAUCAUGCCUUCCUCUGACUAUGCCAACCUCUUUAUACACUGUGGAUCCCCCCCCCCCCCCCAAGUUACAAUCAUUUCCUCACGAUCGUGACAAUUCCCACCCCUUCAAACAAUUUUUAUCCCCAAGAAUUGAUAGCUGUUGACCUAUUCUUCAUCUAAUUUCGACCUUAACAAUCUGAUUUAUUCUUCUCCUUUUUUUUCCUGGCGCUCCUUCUACUUCUAAGCUUUGUCCCAUCUUCCCUUACAUUUUGUUGCUUUUGUUUUUACUGCACAAAUGGAGUGUAGACUCCAAGAAUCACCAUGUCAAGGCUCCCUUCUCCAAUGUCAAAUCUCCUGAACCAGAUGGUCCUGAACCAGAUGGCAACAACCUUUUUUUCUACAAUAUCAAAACUCCCAAACCAAAUGGCAGCACCUUCUCUUCCUUACCUUCCGAUUCUUGUUUAGACCAAGUAACAUGAUAACAAGAAGGGAAUUUUCUUAACCUGUGACCCCUCCGUCCUUUCCAAAACCAAAGGCAAGGAAGCCAUUCUCUUAGAAUCUGCUUCCUCAGAACCAUUCUUGCCUUCAGCCUCCAGUUUUUGCCUCUGGUCUAAGUCUUCAUCGAUUGCAUGUUUCCUUUCAACAACUUCAGUAUCAGCUUCCUUAGAAUCGUUGUUAAGUAGUUCCAAUCUGGAUUGUUCCGUCAAAGCUCCUUUAGCUACAUAUGGUCCUUUACAAACUUGCGAGCUGCUCUUACGAUAACUUUCUAGCGGCAGUCCAUGCUUUCUACAAAUAGCUUAUAGUGCCAAUUCUACAAAUAGCUUCUAGUGCCAAUUCUUGUAGCCUCGCUUUCUCCUUCACUUGUUCCACCAUAGUAGGGUAGAACAUUUUCACAUUGGGCCUUAACUCAUCGUCAAGACCAUUAAUGAAUCUUGAUACAAAGUAAUGUUUUGACAGGGCUAGCUGAAAGCUCCACAUUAGAGACUAUAGCUCCUCAAAUCUAACCUGAUAAUCUGUCACCGAUCCCCCAUGCCUUAAUUUGUUAAACUCCUCAAUCACAUCAAUAAUGUUCUUCUCCCCAAAUUGGUCACACAUAUCUUUAGCAAAGUCAGUCCACCUGACCUCCCCUUCCCAUGUUGCAGCACAUAAUCCUUCAGCCAUCUCCUUGUAACACCUUGUUCCCACCUACGGGUGUCACGAGUAAAUAAUCAACCAGAAUGUUCACCCAUCAACUAGAUUCGGAAGGGUUGGACUAUGUUUCAAUAAGAAACGCCCUAGGUGGGCACUAAGAUUUGUCCUUUCCUUCGCUCCACUCGAGGAGUCGGUUCUGAGAUUUCGAAAAACAUUGCAGCGGAAGGAACCGGAAACCUCAAGUGAGUGCCAUCCUUCUUCAACUCGACUGACUUGAGCCAAGGAUGACUACCCCAGGCUUGGGUGAUAUCUAGGUUGUGUUGCUUAAACCGACUUUUACUCUUGAGUGAAAUUUUAUCUUUAUUUGCCCAGAAUUCCUUAGCUUGCACGCUUUUUGAGAAAACCCAUUUAUUCAUUUUCUCUUCAGAAAAUAUCCAAGACCUCUUGGGUUUCCAAAAUAUUGGGCUAUUUUUCCACAUGUAAGAAAAAUUCCUCACAUAUUUAUAUUUUUCCAAAAAUAGAUUUUUUUCGCUGAAAUAGCCCCAAAACCCCUUUUUUCCAAAAAUUUCUCCAGGGCUAAACAAUUAUUUUAAAAUGGCCCAAAAACCUCAAUAAUUUCAAAAAUUAAAAAAAAAAAAAUGGUCGACGGGGCCUGCUAGCGCACUUGGGGCCCACACGAGGCCCAACGGUGCCCUGGUAGUGCUUGCUGGCUGAGGGCCGCACACGCGCCCAGCUGCCCCCUGUUGGCCUUGGCUGCUGCCACUUUCCAUUUUCGCGUCGUUUCUCACUUUCUUUUGACUUUUUGGCCUCCAAACAUUACAAAAUUUAAUAUUUAAAUUUUUCUUCCAUUGAAGGCACAAAAUAUACAAUGAGGCUCCAACCCCCAACACAUGGUUACAUCACAAUAUUUACAAAUUUAACACAAAAAUUACAACAAAAUCAUCUUGAUGCUUCCAAAGCCUCAAGCUUCCAAAAUCCCCUUUCUCUUGGCACAUGAGAGACCUACAAGGUGAGAUAAAACCUCAUGAGCUACAAUGCUCAGUAAGGGUGCAAUGCAAAUAUAAAUGUCAUAGAUUAAAAAUUUAAUGCCAAGUAUAUGUAAGUGUGGCUAAGUCUCUUUGCCCUCACAACCUCCCCUUGGCUUGAGGCAUUGACCUACCUUUUCCCACUAUGUCCCUAACUAUCCACAUGGUCAUUGGUCUCAUGUACAUAAUGGAGCAUAUAAUCUUGCAACACAAUAAAAUCUAUCUUACAUACUUACAAAGCUUGCAAGGCCACCUCCCAUGGGGUCAUCCCUUACUUUUUGGAGCUCCUUGGACUUGAAGCGGUCCUUCUAGCCUCCAAUCCCCUUGCUUCCAACUUUCUUACUCAAAGAAACCUUAAGAAAAACAAAGUGGCUAAGCCACCAUUCAAAGAGAAACCAAAAGAAAGAUAAAUUUAUACCAUAACAUGGAAGAAUUCUUACAUUUUCUUCCUCCUUCUUUCUUCUUCUCUUUUCUUUCCUUCUUGUUGGAAGACUUAUUCUAAUUUCUCUCUUGAAAUUUCCUUUUUAUAUCUCUCAAUUUCAAGAUCCAAUCCUAGCCAUUGGAUUUACUUUUUGAGAUUAAAUCUCAUCCACACAAACAAACACAAUCCAUGCCAUUAUGUAGCAUUUAAUCUCCACCCUUGGAUUCUUUUGCCUUUUCCAAGACUCAAUCUCCACCACAUAGAGAAAGCACAAUCCAUGUGCUUAAAGAAGAUUAAAUCCCAUCCAUGAAUUUCUUUGGAGAUUAAAUCUCGACCAUCCAUCUCAUUCUUCCUUUGGAUUACUAAACCCAUUUGGCAAUCCAUGCCCAUUUGAAGACUCAAAUCUCCACGUUUGAAUCUUUUCCAAUUUCAAGACUUAAUUUCCACCCUUAGAUCAAGUCUCACUUUCUCAUAAAAUAUCCAAUUUCUCAAUUAAUUAAUUCUUGACUAAUUUCAAGAAUAACCUUUGAAAGACCAUUUUCAUUAAAAAAUUUCUUUAAUCACCAUAAUCAUUACUCCCAUAAGGGCUAGAAUGAUUAUUUCUCUUUUCUUUUUGAUUUAAAUAAAUCCUUCCAUUCUCUUGGAUACGAGCUUAUCAAGUGUCACUCUUAGACACUAAGUUGGCCUUCAAGCUUCAAUCCAAGCCAUCCAUGUGUCACCACCACACUUAUUCACCAUUUUAGGGAAAAAAAUAAAUUACUCUCUCACAUAAAUGAAUUAUAUUUAUUUUUCCCUCUUCAAUAAUUUAAUUCCCUUAUGGAAUUAGACUCAAAAUUACCAAAAUGCCCCUAGUGAAUUCUCAAUCCCAUUUAUUUCCACACAAAUGCACCAAUGAGAAUGAUUCACAACUAUAUCCAAUUCCAAGAGGAAUUAUUUUCUAAGCCACCCAAUUACCCUUUAUUGGGUCUCAUUAUCCAAAUUUACCAAAAUGCCCCUCUUUUAGGGCACCAUUAUUCCUAUAUAUCCACUUUUUCCUCAAGGGCACUUUUGGAAGUUUCAAACAUCCUUCCUUAUUUUAUAACAUCAAUAACACAUGUUACAUCUUUUCAAUUUCUUGAAAAUUCACUACUGUAACAACCUCUUGCUCAGCUUCUAAGGAUCUCUUCGGAAAUUUAUUCCUGUACUAAAAUUCAGCAACCCAAGCUAAUGCAAUUGUUGCUUCCAAUUCAACAACCUUAAUUCGCUUCAAACAUUGCCCUAGCAGUAGCCUAGAUCUAAAUUAGUUUUUUAGUUGCUACUAAAUGGCCUACAAAUCAAUUUUCGAAAUCUGAUCGAGUUUGUUUGGCCUUCAAAUUAGCCUACUAUCAGCUUCCAACUCACCCUAAACCUCCGCCUUAGUUACAAUGGAGUAGCUAAGGAUUGUCGCCUUCCAAAUUUCAGCUUCUUAAGAAUUUGAUUGGCUCUCGUUGCAACUUCUUGUGAAUCGUCGACUCUCACUUUCCCAAGUCAUCGAAAUUCCGUCUGAAAUCACCUCAUAGUAGUCGCCUAGGAGAAUCACCCUGAUCCAGUUGCUCGGAAUUCCCUUAUGGAUCGUUUCCGACCGUGCCUUCCUUCACAGCUCGGUCACAUGCAAUGACCAAGAUCCAAUGGCUUUGGAACAACAGCCGAAGUCACACGCAGCGACCACACCUUCCUUCUUGCCUCGCUCAAGGUUAUGCUUCCUAGUCUCUCGAAUGCAAUACCUCUAAUUUGCAAUUGAAUUGCUGACUAUCGAACUUGCUUACAACUAAUCGCUAUCUACCCACAAUCAAGCAAGUUCCAUGAUCGCCCCAGCCAACGCCUUCUUCUCCACCCAAUCACCAUCCAAUGAUCAUCAGAAUUCAUGCGAAGUCAAUAACUCCAUUGGAGUCGCCCCCAAUCAUCGUCUGAUGUCUUGCUUCUGAAGCUACUUUCGCUACGGAACUCCUUUUCCUACCGGAUCUAAGUUCGUCACUAGAAGCAAUUGUCAAUGGCCUGCAUUCCAAUUGCGAUCCUCCCGUUCUGCAUUCGAUUCAUUGCAAAUUCAAGAUCGCUUGGAUUCUUAUGGCGGUUGCUAUGGAUCAAAAAUUGCCCCAAGCUUGCGUCCACUUCUUACCCACUCAUCGACCACUAGUUUGUCAAAAUUCAGCUAAAUAUUCUGUGCCUCUGAUCUGCAACUAACUUGCUGAUCAGAGUCAUCAGUCGCGAUGGAUAAACAACCUCCUGAAACAAGUUCAGCUCUGGUAUCACCUCCUACAAUUGAUCUUCUCUACUGCAGCUUCUUGAAGAUUAGCUUCAAUCAGCUUCUAAGGAUAGGCUAUCAGCUUCCAGUACUCGUAUAAUACUCCAUAUUUUCGUGAAGUUGCCACGUAUUUUAAGUGAGUUUAAAAUAUCGAAAAAUAUGCUUGAAAUGGCAACAAGGGACCGAAUCAGUCGCAGGGAGUGUCCUGGAGCUUAGAUACUUAAGGACAAAGGUAUAUUUUUGAUGAGCAUCUCGAGGUGAGAUUUAUGACGCUGAAAGAAAUCAAAUCAGAGACAGUUUUUUCGGUUAAGCUAAGUUGUAGCCUGAAAAGACCGAAUGAUGGUAAGGGUUUCCCAGAAAUUGUACAUAUCAAAUAAUUUUGCGUUAUUAAUUUUGAGAUUCUAAGUAUCUCGAUAAAUUUGAUGUUUGAGGGUGUAAUUGUAAUUAGAGAAUUAUUCAAAUGAAAUAAGGAUGAAAUUAUUCAAGUGAAGGACUUGAAAAAGGGGGCCAAAAUGUUAUUUAAUUGACUUUUGUAGCAUGUCUUUGAUGAGCCUUUCUAUCUCAGUUUUCUGUUUAGGAGGGUAACGAUAGGACCUUACGUUCACUGGUUCCGAAUUUGGUUUGAGAUGGAUGGUAUGGUCACAGGGCCUUUUUGGAGGAAGUGAGCUGGGUUCAGAAAAGAGGUCUUUGAACUCAAGUAAUAGCAUGUUAAGAGAGUUAGUUUCGCAUACCUUCCACUAGUCGUGUGAGUGGCUACUCACUGUAAUGGCCAAUUCUCCUCCCUGCUCCUGUCCCUUCUCGAAAACUUCCAAGGCCUGGAUAGAAAACAGCUGCGCUACUUGGGAAAACUUGCUCUUGAGCAAUCGUUGAAGUCUCUUUCCCGUUAUCAUCUUGCACAUACCCGCUUCCUGGCUGCCUUUGAGUAUCCUCCUUUUUCCAUCCUUCUCAAAGGUCACCUCCAUCUUGUUGAAAUCGAAGCUGAUAGGACUCACUUCUCUCAUCCAAUCAACCCCAAGCACCACAUCGCAACCCCCCAAUUUCAACAGCCUCAAAUCUGCCACAAAUUCUUCCCCAUUCAUCUCUCAACAGAAUCCCAAACAUGAGAUUGACUUAAUACCUUAUUUCCGUUUGCUACUGUUACCGAAAGGGGGUGAGAGUUUGAGACCUCACAUCCCAAUUUCUUUGCCAUACCUUCAUCCAAGAAGCUAUGGGUGCUUCCGCUAUCAAUGAGUACCAUUAGUGGGCAUUGAUGAGCUCGCCCUUCUACCUUAAUGAUCUUGCUGUGUGCCAAUCCUUUUAGUGCAUGUAAGGAGAUCUCUCCUCGAUCACCUUCGCCCAUCUCCGAGGUUUCCUCCGCGAGUCCUUCCUCAUCCUCCCCUUCCAGUAACAGGAUUUGUCAUUUGCACCUGUGUCCCGGAAAGUAUUUAUCCCCGCACUUAUAACAUAGGUUCGCUUGGCGUCUCUGCUCCAUUAACCCUCCUCCAUUUGUUGGGUUAGGGGUUUUAGGAGGCAAUGCUAGGACUCCCUUACCACUGUGCACCGUAUCUCGUCCUUGAGUCCUAUUACCAGACUGCCACCCCCCAGAGAUCACUCCUUUUACUUGAUUGCGCUGCCUUUUUAACAGUGCUUCAAUCGUCAUUUCUUGCAACCUUGCACUCUCAGCGGCCAGCCUUACUGUCGUUGGUUGCAUCAUUUUUACCAUGGGCCUCACUUCAUCUCCCAAGCCACUAAUAAAACUUGAUACAAAAUACUCUUCCGAUAGAUGGGGAUUGUGUAUCAUCAUUAAGGAUCUCAGCUCCUCAAACUUGAGCUGGUAGUUCUGUACCGUCCCCAGUUGCUUGAGCUUGUUAAACUCUUCGACUAUAUCCCGCAUACUCCGGUCUCCAAACCUUUCCACAUAAGUCGUCAGCGAACUCGUUCCAUGGGCUGCCUUCUUUCUCCGCGAGCCACCCCUGGUACCAUGCAUCAGCCAUGUCGUUCAGGUAGGCAGAGGCCAGGGUGACCUUUUGCUGUUCCUGCACCUGAUACAGGGCGAACAUACGUUCGCACCUCCUAACCCACCAUCUUGGGUUUUCCCCAUCGAAGAGCGGAAUCUCCAGUUUGGGUACCGAAAAGCUCGGUUGGUAACGAUCUGCUUGAGUUCUCGCUCUUCUCUCCCUUAAGUUAUCGCCGAUCCCUUCUGUCUCAAAUUCCACUUCCGACGUUCCCACUGGUCGACGCUCCAUUCCUACCCCUUGAAGAAUGGGUUCUGACCGUUCCCUUUGCGGAAAGUCAGCGGAAAGUCUUACCGGCUGCUGGAUUGAGAACAUCCACAUGAUCUGGUGCAUCUGUUUCAUCACUUGCUCAUGGAACCGAGCAUUCUGUUUUCAAUUCUCACCCUGCCACCUUUCCAUGGCUUGAUCAAUCCAAGCAUCUACCCCUGCUCCAAUCGAGGAUUCGAGAGUCCCCAUUCUUGUUUGCACCUCCGCCACUGUUGUAGCCACUUGUUGCAGUUGAGACUCCAUCUGCUUCAUCCUCGUUCCUUCGGCCAUAUGGAUAACCUUCUCUUCUUCUGCCUGUGCCCAAAAACACUGCUUUGAUACCAAAUGUCAUCUUCUGAGGAGCUGAUUGUUGUUUCUCCGGUUGAGUGAUUGAACGUUACCGAUAGAAUUAGGAGGAAGAGAAUUAGUAGGAAGAGUGAGAGGAAGAAUGAGAGAGAGAAUAGAAACUUCUAGGAAUAUUCAUUCAUAAUCAUUGGCGAGUUGGAUAACUGCUUUAUAAAGCUAAACCACCUGCCUAUGUGCGUAACCGAAUGCCGUUGCUGGGAAUGUACUACUCCUAAUGCGGCAACAAACAAAUUACAACUCCUCAAUGCAAACUUCUAAUAUACUACUUACUACUCAUAGUAUAACCUUAUUACAUUAGCACCCCUCCUACCCGUGACACACGACAGAGGUGUUUAUGGAACCCCCUCUAGGUUUUGACAAAGGUUUUUCAGGAAGGGUAUGCAAACUAAAGAAAGCUCUUUAUGGGCUUAAACAAUUCCCUUGGGCAUGGUUUGAUCGUUUUUCUAAGGUUAUGAAACAUAUGGGCUAUCUUAAAAGUAGGGGUGAUCACACCCUUUUCUUUAAGCAUUCCCGUAAAGGAAGGGUGACAAUGUCUAUGUUGAUGACAUUAUAGUCACCGGGAAUGACUGUGAGGAAGAAGCACAACUUAAAGAUAAUCUGUCCAAGGUGUUUGAGAUCAAGGAUCUUGGAGUCUUGAAGUAUUUUUUGGGAAUAGAGGUGGCUUAUUCCCAAGUUGGUAUUUUCUUGUCCCAAAGGAAGUAUAUUCUUGAUUUGUGGCAUGAAACAGGUCUCUAUUGGGUGGCAAAGGUGCAGGUACUCCGAUGGAAUUUAAUGUUAAAUUAUGUGACAAUUACAAUGGUUAACCAGUGGAUAAGGGGAGAUAUCAAAGAUUGGUUAGAAGAUUAAUUUAUUUGUCUCAUACUAGACUAGAUAUUGUUUUUGCAGUAAACUUGGUUAGUCAGUUCAUUCAUUAUCUCACGGAAGAACAUGUGCAAGCUAUGAGAUGAAUUUUGUGCUAUUUGAAGACUACUCCUGAUAAAGGGAUCUUAUUUAAAUUAGGAGCUAGAUUGGAUGUUAUUGGCUACAGUGAUGCCAAUUAUGGGGGGGUUUUGAUUGAUAGGCGUUCCAUCACCUGUUAUUGCAUGUUUUUUGGGGGAAAUCUAGUAUCUUGGAGAAGUAAGAAGUAGGGAGUAGGAACAAGAUCUAGUGUUGAGGCUGAGUUUCAAGCACUAGGUCUAUGUGAAUUGUUAUGGCUAAAGAUCAUUUUGGAAGACCUAAAAAUUUCUAGCAAUGGGCUAAUCAAGUUUUGUUGUAAUAAUAAGUCAACCAUCAAUAUAGUACAUAACCCUGUGCAGCAUGACCGAACCAAGCACAUGGCAAUAGACAUACACUUUAUUAAAGAGAAGCUCGAUGUUGGGUUACUUUGUAUUCCCCAUGUGCCCUCGGAAGAUUAGCUAGCUGAUCUUUAGGCAAAGGGGCUUGCCUACUAAGCGAUUUGAAGAGUUGGUGUGCGAGCUAGGAAUGAUUGAUAUCUGUCACGACCCUAGGGUUUAGCUAGGGUCUAGGGAGGAAUUCGGAAGAAUUUGGGAGAGAAACGGAUAAAAAAUUGGAGGGAGAUACGUAGUAGAAAUUAAGAGAAAGGGAAGGAAAACAAGGGAGAACUAGAGAGAGAAAGUAAGGAGGAAAUAUGAAUUCACUAAAUCAUACCAACAUACAUUUCUCUACAUGUUAUGGCUUAUUUAUAGGCUGUUCAAGUAAUAGAAUAUUGUAGAACAGCACCCAUGUGCACUUUAACAGAAUGAAUAGCAUCUCUUAACCAACAAUUGUAACUAAUGGCGGCAUUGCCCCUCUAAUUCCUCUUGGGUCAUGACAAUAUCCACUCGCCAGCUUGAGGGAGAGUGAUGAAAUAUGUGGAUCCGUGUAGCCAAAGUUUCUUAUUUUGGCUACACGGUUUGAUGUGGAUGUGAUUGGUGACAACUCUUUUGAUUGGAAGUUUCAAAAAAUGGUUUUAGGAAGUUUCCUAAUGUAUAUGGUCAAUUAUUUCCUAUUCUAGUUUAGGAGAUUUCCAGAUUGUAUAUAAUUGAUUCUUUCCUUUAUUUUGUUGUAUCCUUUCCUAUGUUGUAAAGUCCUCAUGUCUAUAAGAGGAUAUGUAAAGCUUCUUCUUCUCGUAUUAAGGGAAUUAACAGCAGGAGGUUCCAUCUUUUUAACAUUUUCAUUUCCUAUAGCAUAUGACUUAAUAUAUACAGUUUUAAGGGUUAACAACCCACUUCCUUAAAAAUAGGACCCUAUCUAACCACCUAAUCUGAAACAAAGACAAAAGGAUAAGGAUCAAGACUCAGCCCACUUAUGGAUCAGAGUUUGACCAUAACAAGAUAAGAUUAACCAAAUUAAAGAUAAAAACAAUAAGAUAAAAACCGGAUAAAACUAAGAAAUAAACCUUAUCUUCCACAUUAAAUGUAAAUGAGUUCUCUGAAAAACUGUACAGAUCUGCAUACAAUUUGGAAUCCUUUCGACAAUAUUUCCACUAUGAUGGUCAAAUUCAUGGGAUUGAAUUGGUUUAUAGUAAUUGGCUGAUAGAACUCACUCUUUUUGGAUUGAAUUCAAUACUAGAACAGUAGAAAAAUCAGUGUUUACAAGGAUUACAACAUUUGCUAGGAUGAGUAUAAGCUAAAAACAACCAAUUGGUCUAUUUCGAGAGGGCCUUCUCUCUCUCACGACAGUUGUCCAGAUUUUUUCUCUGCUUCUCUCUCCUUUCCCCUAGCCUUAUAUACCUUCUCUUCAUUCCAUUGCAGCCACGUGAAAGAAUAUUCUUCCCCUAACCAACUUUGGACUCUUCUGCCCCUUAGUCAAUUUCCUUGGCUACCCUUGAUUCCCCCCUCCUUUUAUGCCUCUGAUAGGUAUGAAUAACGGGGGUCCUAACAUUGGCCAACUAGAUAGGUUUAAUAUAUUUGGGUGGUUUUCAUACCACAGAAACUGUUGAGACUGGAUUUAUCAAAAAAGGAAACUAGUGAAACUGGAUUCUUAUAAGGAUCAGAAAUUAUUUUUUUUGGAAUUUUAAGUAGCCAAAAAUAUAUUCAACUUUUGUUGCAUCUACUUUUGGUUUCUUGGCUUUCUCUCUUGUAAUGAUGAUUAUGUAUCUGUGUUUAACUCAUCUCAAUUAUUGAAAUCUUGCUGACAUGUUUGGAAUUGACCAUUAGCAUGAAAAAGAGUUGCCUUCUUUUCUACGAAGUUCUCUCUCCCCCCCCCCCCCCC